AUUGAACUCUGGCGGCAGGCCUAACACAUGCAAGUCGAGCGAGCGGCGGACGGGUGAGUAAUGUAUGGGGAUCUGCCCGCUAGAGGGGGAUAACUACUGGAAACGGUAGCUAAUACCGCAUACUAUCGGAUGAACCCAUAUGGGAUUAGCUAGUAGGUGGGGUAAAGGCUCACCUAGGCGACGAUUCCUAGCUGGUCUGAGAGGAUGACCAGCAACACUGGAACUGAGACAAGUUCCAGACUACUACGGGAGGCAGCAGUGGGGAUUAUUGGAACAUGGGGGAAAGCCUGAUGCAGCCAUGCCGCGUGUAUUAAGAAGGCCUUCGGGUUGUAAAGUCCUUUCAGCGGGGAGGCGUUACCCGCAGAAGAAGCACCGGCUAACUCCGUGCCAGCCGCCGCGGUAAUAC
rnacentral:rRNA from 1 species